rnacentral:rRNA from 1 species
GACGAACCGAGCGAACGUUGUUCGGAAUCACUGGGCUUAAAGGGCGCGUAGGCGGGUGCUCAAGUCCGGGGUGAAAUCCUCCAGCUCAACUGGAGAACUGCCUCGGAUACUGGGUGUCUCGAGGGUGGUAGGGGUAUGCGGAACUAUCGGUGGAGCGGUGAAAUGCGUUGAUAUCGAUAGGAACUCCGGUGGCGAAGGCGGCAUACUGGACCACAUCUGACGCUGAGGCGCGUAAGCCAGGGGAGCAAACGGG